CUCUGAAGGAAGAGCAGCUUCAUUAUGGUGUGUUUUCCUCUCAGACACGUCUGUCUGGUGCCUGCUGAGACGAAUCAGGUCACCUGUGCUUCAAAUCGCUCUUCAGAAGCAUCAGCUAAAUCCAGCCUGCCAUAUUAACUGGCCGAGAGGACAACUAAAGCACUUAAUCUGCCAUCCUGAAUCGAGUGCACACGAGCGGAUGGGUACCAGACUCCUGCCUGGAGCACAAGAGGGCGGAACGGGGCGUUACUCCAUCCGGCAGCAGUCAAUACUCACGCCAGGAGGACUGAAGGGUGACGCUGUGGGCCGGCCGGCCGGCCAGCAUUAUGUGUGAAUGUUUGCAGCUGACCACCACAAACCACUGCGGAUCUUUGAGCUGUAGGUGUACUGAUCUUAUGUGAGGACAUGGUGUUGAACAGGAGCGUGAUGAAGCGUGACGACUGCCAAGAGAUGUCUGGAUCUCCGCUUUAAGUAUAAAUGUGACUCCCUGUUCAGUCUAAAAAAUGAGUAAAACAUUAUCUGGGAAUGAUUCAAUGUGCAAUUUAAUAUUAUUAGGGUACAUUUGUACAGUAUAUACAAUUUGUAUAAAUCUUACAAGAGAAUUUCUGUAUUAUAAUUC